rnacentral:lncRNA from 1 species
GAAGCUCAUCACAGUCACAUUCAUCAUCAAUCAGGUGGAUGAAAAAGUUGUGAAAAUUGAUCAGGUCCAAAGGAAUUUGGUGUUUCGGUCUGAUGUAUUUGGAUGGUAAAAUAUGUUGUUGGUAAACCGUUAUGAGUGAUGUAGAGUAAUAUGUUCUCUGUGAAACGAUUGAAUAUUUUCAUAGCCAUUUUCAAAACGUGAUGUCAGAUGUACGGCAACUCAGUUGCACAGGUGUCCUUUUUUGCCAAGCUAAAUGGUUGUAUACCUAAAUCCUUGUGGCAUGAAAACAUGAUGUCAAUAUUUAUUUAAUUUGAUGUUAAAGAAUUUCCACCCAUGAUGCAACAACAUGACACUUUACAGAUCAUUGUCUGAUUUUCAUGACAAAUUUUCAUUUCUCAUUGAUUAGACAAAUUCCCUGUUUAUCAAGUUCAAUCAAAGAAAUAAUGGAGCUCCAGGGAUUGCAACUGUUGAUUUGUUUCAAAUAGCUUGGCUGAUAUGAUUUUGGUUCAACUUCUUUCUAAUUCAGUUUUUAACAGAGCCAUGGAAACACCUUCUUUUGCCAGAUUUGAUAGAUCUGUAUUCUCUUUCCUAGUGUUGGCGAAUGAAACUAGCAAUAACCAAGUCAUUUGAACCUGAGAACAUAGCAGUUGGUUUAAGUUAUGCUGAAUCUCCAAGAUAUUGAAGAGCCCAUAAAAUAAAAUUCUUUGCUGCCACUUUUUUUAGUGAAAAAUGAGAGGUAAUGCAGCCAUAAGAAGGUUGUAUGACCACUACUUGAGUUCUAAUUUAGGCUCAUAUAAGAUUGAUUGAUAUGAGGUAUUUCCUUCGGUUUCAACAAUCUGGUUUGACAUUAUUGUCAUCUAAUAAUUCUUCCAUCAGUUUCCACAGGUUUUUUUAACAGGGUGGUAAAGUCUUAGCUUCUUCAUUGCAUAGAGGUUGGGUGAGAACGGGACGUGUUUCAUCAUUAUCAAGUAAGUCAAUAGCCGCAAGCUGCAGAAGAAAGGGUUGCAUGUCCAUCCUGCUCGAAGGUCACGGAGAUGAUUACGUUAAACCUGUCAUGCAGUGGUGUAGAUUUUGGGUGAGAACGGGGCGUGUUUCAUAUCAUCAUUAUUAAGCAGGUACAAUAGAUAGCCGCAAGGCUUAUGAGGUUAGGAUGCGAAAAAAAUCGUAUAAAAGGAGAGAGAAAAGGAGGUAGAAAUCAGUCGAGUGAGUAUCUCUGACACGGCAACAACUGCAGUGUAUUAUCUGUCACUAACUGCAUUCCUCAUCGUGGAACCAAAUUGCAAUCAUGCAGGUACAAUUACCGCACGGCUCGAGUUGAAAGGUGAAUAACGAGAAGGAAAAACUUAUUAAGCGAGAGAAAUGUCGAUAAAACUCAAUCAAAUGAGCAUCUCCGACAUGGCAAAUUGGCAACUUCCAGUUCGCAAUUAUGGGCAAAUAUUCUUAUUUUUUUAUUUAGUUAUGUAUCAAUUCCGUUUGUCUCUUUUUGUUAGUAUGCCAGUUAUUAUUGAUUAUUAAUGUGAAAACUAAUUGCUCGGUUAACCAUAGCGUCGUGCUGCUGUUGGGUGUUGUAUCGUUGAUGACUGUGUCGACCACUGGUGUACCGAUGUCUUCUCUUGGUAUGGCGGAUACCAAACUGCAACGCCGCCGCCUUACUACCCAAAAGCAACUCACGCUACGACCAGUUACUGCGCCGAGACCCUUAAGUACAACACCACUAAGGUACUGGUGUAUUAUACCACAACUUAACUGCCCCCAGCUACUACACUGACGCCCCGAAGUAUUACUCUGCCCCGAGCUACACCAACAAGGUACCGGGGUACUACACGAAUACGUAUGCUGCCCCAACCUACUACACCGAUGGCUAAAGUAGUACUACUCUGUUCCCAGCUACUACAACGAGGCUCCGGCUGAUAACUAAACCCAAACGGUAGCUAAAAGCCUAGCUACAACACCGAAGCUCCCAAGUACUACAUCAAAGAAGUCGCAUAUUACACAAGUCAACCACGUCCGCCGCCCCAGUUUACUUCACCGAGGAACCCAAGUAUUACUCUGCUCCAAGCUACUACCAAACCGAGGCUCAUAAGUACUACCAGCAACGUUCCUGAGUGUUACACCACUACUUACGCUGCUACGACCUACACACCGAAGUUCCAUAGUAUUCCUAUGCCCCGAGUUACUACACUACUAGAGCACCAACAAAUUUCAACAAAUCUUUCUUCUUCGUUUACUGUUCCGAUUGUUGCUGUCCAAUGAGGUUUGAUAUUGCAGCUAACAUUUAUGUGCAUCACAUUUAAUUUUGGCUGUUACUUGGUGCUGGUAUUGUGUUUUAAAAGUUGCAAUUUGUAUUUUGUUCAAUUGGCUUUUUGUCUAUUUCGUUCGGAUGUUAAGAUAUAAGAAGAAAG